CUGGCUCAGAUUGAACGCUGGCGGAAUGCUUUACACAUGCAAGUCGAACGAUGAACCUUAGCUUGCUAAGGGGAUUAGUGGCGAACGGGUGAGUAAUAUAUCGGAACGUGCCUUGUAAUGGGGGAUAACUAGUCGAAAGAUUAGCUAAUACCGCAUACGCCCUGAGGGGGAAAGUAGGGGAUCUUCGGACCUUACGUUAUAAGAGCGGCCGAUAUCUGAUUAGCUAGUUGGUGGGGUAAUGGCCUACCAAGGCAUCGAUCAGUAGCUGGUCUGAGAGGACGACCAGCCACACUGGAACUGAGACACGGUCCAGACUCCUACGGGAGGCAGCAGUGGGGAAUUUUGGACAAUGGGCGCAAGCCUGAUCCAGCCAUUCCGCGUGAGUGAAGAAGGCCUUCGGGUUGUAAAGCUCUUUCGCAAGGGAAGAAAACUUACACAAUAACACUGUGUGAGGCUGACGGUACCUUGAUAAGAAGCACCGGCUAACUACGUGCCAGCAGCCGCGGUAAUACGUAGGGUGCGAGCGUUAAUCGGAAUUACUGGGCGUAAAGCGUGCGCAGGCGGUUUUGUAAGUCAGAUGUGAAAUCCCCGAGCUCAACUUGGGAACUGCGUUUGAAACUACAAGACUAGAAUAUGUCAGAGGGGGGUAGAAUUCCACGUGUAGCAGUGAAAUGCGUAGAGAUGUGGAGGAAUACCAAUGGCGAAGGCAGCCCCCUGGGAUAAUAUUGACGCUCAUGCACGAAAGCGUGGGGAGCAAACAGGAUUAGAUACCCUGGUAGUCCACGCCCUAAACGAUGUCUACUAGUUGUUGGUGGAGUAAAAUCCAUGAGUAACGCAGCUAACGCGUGAAGUAGACCGCCUGGGGAGUACGGUCGCAAGAUUAAAACUCAAAGGAAUUGACGG
rnacentral:rRNA from 1 species